UCUCUCUGUGUGUCUCAUGAAUAAAUAAAUAAAUAAAUAAAAUCUUAAAAAUAAAUAAGACUAAAAAUAACCUAAGUAAUUUCAAAAAUAAAAUUUAAACUCCUAUUGAUUUCUGAAAGUUUGACCUGCAUAAAUAUUCAAGAGCAAAGUAUUAUUUUUAUAAAAUACUUGUACAUUUUCUAUUAUAGGCCUAUAUAAUUUAUCGACCAUUAUAGUAUACAUGAUCACAUAACUGACUUGUUCCUCCACGUGUUAAUUGACCUUAAUUAAUAGCUUUUCUAGGCUAAUAAAAUUUUUAUUUAAGUCUUUGGAUACUGACAGAAAAUAAUAAUUAGCCUUUUGUUAGGUCAAGAAAAACUAAGACAAUUUUCCUGAGAAGCCGACAUAUAACAAUAUAGCACUGAUUUAGAUUUUAGGAAAUCAAGGUCUAGUUAUGUUUAAUUGGGAACCAUUCUCAAAUCCUGUAACUCCUUUUUUUUUUUUUUUUUUUUGUCUAACGAGAGACUCUGGUAAUAAAUUACAGCUUCCUUCAAGUCAUAGUUAAACAGCGAAGUUAAUUGAGAGAAAUGAGCUGCAUAAAACAGAAACCAUGUUUUCUACUUUUCACUUAAAGUCAUAAGAUCCUAAACCCAUGAGGUCUGUAUGCCUGACAUUAGAUGACCACUGUUUCCAAUCAUUGGUCAGGUUCUUGAUCCAGAACCAAUUGUCCUCAUUGAUACCCCAGUUUCUAACCUCUAAAUUGCUGAUGACAUUUGUUAUUCUUCAGUUUAUAAUCUAACUUUGCCUUUCUGCCGGAUAUCUCACCCUACUUUUCCAGGAUGACCUUGACCAUUGCUUCUGACCUGAAUUUUUCUUCUAGGUUGCUUCAUCUUUCUCUGAGUAAUGCAUUUAGCAUGACUUCCUGUGGGUGGCGCUCCUGCCUGAAUCUCCCCAGCCUGAAAGCAGGCUGCCUCUUUGCCCUGAAGAAAACAGCUUUACCUCCAGGCAAAGGAGGUAUGGUGUGGUGGGAAGGGCAUGAGGCCUGCCAGACAACUCCCACUGCAGCCUACCUGCGAUUCCAACCCAGGAUCAUUAGUGUUGCUCCUUAAAAUAACUUUGUUUUUAGAAUCCAUAUCCUCCUAGCCACCACUCCUACAUUCUCCUAUUGAAAUAAUUGUUUUCCUCCAUGAUUAUUGAGCUCAAGGUUUCUUUGAUUUCAACAACUGUGUUGUAGCAGAGCACAUGGUGCUUGGUAAGAAAGAUUUUCAUGAUUCUUGUAAUCUGUCUCCCUUUUAUUCCGUUUUAGUACCAAGAAAGAAAGAAGUAUUUACAAAAGUUUUCCUCCCACCAACAGCAAGCAAUUGUACAUGACCCAGAGGAGAGUGGCUCAGGACUGAUGGUAACAAAAGUGAUGGAAACUAACCAGAAUGAGCAAACGCCAAAGGGACCCAGGGAACAGUAUCAAGACUGAUCCUCACCAGAUGAUUUGAAUUCCUAAAGCCUAGGAUGUACUGAGUUUUUGUUUCACUCUGGAGGCUGCUGUCCUUACACAUGCCUUCUGAGCAGUAGAUUUUAACAAGAUUAAGCCUCUUGUUGCCUGAAAAAAAGAACACAUUUAUUGCACAGAAUCUAUUAGGGACCUAUGUAAGCCCAAAUAAUCACUCAGCAUCAGAGAACAAGGCUUAGCCAGAAAUAUCAUCCAAAAAUCCCAGCCUGGAACUGCUUUUAAGAUCCCACUGCUACCACUUCCGAGCAUGAGCUGCAAGAUCUAGAGUCUGAAAGAGCUAGAUCAAGGCUCUGGCAGAUAUGGUUUGUGGAGAAACUUUCUUCCUGGCUUACAUACUGUCAAAAACGGACCCCUGUGCCCAGGAGCCAAAAUAUGCAACAUGAAGACAGAGUUCGUGGAUGAAGAAGGAAGAUCCUUUAUUGCUUUGCUGGGUAAAGGAAGCUGCAGCAGGCUAAGGCCUUCAAAAACACUGCAAACCUGCCCCAGGAGCUGGGGGGUUAUAGGCCAAUACUGGAUCUAGCCGGUUUUGACAGGAAUUGUGUAGGUGCUGCCAGCCUCCAUAGUUAGUUGUUUUCAGGGUGGCAUGGGGUUCCUGAAACAAAAGGCUAAGAUGGGAGGAGAGGAGGUUUAUGGAAGAAAGGACAAAGGUUACUUAGUUUAAAAUUGAGCCUGGCCAAAGCAUCCAUGCAGCCAUGUUGAUUUUUGUUCAGAUUUAUACUUUAAAGCAAUUUCAUUCAGAGAAGUGUCUUCUUCAUGUUGUCCUCACGUGGCCUUUUUCCUCUGCGUAUUUGUAAGGAGAAAGAGUGAGCUCUGUUGGCUCUGCCUCUUCUCAUAAGGAUACUGGUCCUAUCAGAUUAGGGCUCCACUCUUAUGCCCUCAUUUAACCUUAAUUAUCCCCUUGAAGGCUCUAUCUCCAAAUACAAUCACCUUGGGAGUUAAGCCUUUGACAUAUGAAUGUAAGGAGGAAACACAAUUCAGUCCCAUAACAGGAUUAAAAGAGGGCUAUCUGAAAUCAGGUGGAAAGUCAUAAAACAAGAUGAAGACAGUGUGGCUCACUGACAUGAGGUAUGUAUAGUAUAUAUAGUGUAUUUCUAUGCAGUCUGGCUCAGCUGAAAUGCCUAGUAUUUUUCAUAGAUGAAUUGUAUGUAAGCAAAUGUCAACUUCACAUCAUGCGCAAAUUGUUCUCUUGUAUAUUAAUUGCAUUGGAACAAACUAGUGUUUUUCAAAACAAGCAUUAUAGCAGGCUUGACUGUAUUCAUUCAUUCUAUCAACCUUGAGUGCUUCUAUGUGCUAGGCGCAUUGCUUGGUCCAAAGAAGCUAGUGAAUAUGUUAAACAAGAUGAGUUCCCCUAAGGUGCUUACAUUCUUCAGGGGGGAGACUUCAAUAUUGUGAUUUCUAAGAAAUAUAGACUUGUGGCUCGCAGCCCUCCACAACCCUUGAAAUUUCAUGAGCUAUAAGAGCAAUGGGAGCAUUUUUUGUCAUAACAUUUAAUCAAUUGUCCUCAGUUUCUGAAAUCACCUCAGAGCCAUAAAGGCAUAAUGAAUGUCUUGUUGUUCACAACAGUUUAUGUUAGCGAGGUGACUUUUGGAAAACACUGAACGAUAGGAGCUGGCUACUAGAAGAACCAAACAUAACUAGAGAGUUGGAACUCUCAGUUCUACUCGGUGAUUUCCAAGAAGGGGAAAGGGACUAGGGAGUCAAACAAUCCCCAGUGGCCAAAGAGUUAAUCAGUAAUGCCUAUAUAAUGAAGCCUCCAUAGAAACCCCAAAAGGAGAGGGUUUGAUUCGCUUCCGUAUUGGUGAACCAGAACACUUCCAUGUACCUUGCGCUGGACCCCAAACUCCAGAACAGAAGCUCCAUUUUACUUGGAACCUCACCUAUGUAUCUCUUCAUCUGGCUGUUGAUUUGCACACUUUCAAAUCCUUUGUAAUAAA